CGCUAAAGUUCCUUAAUGACAUGCCACUAAUAUCCCAGUAGUUCUAAAUUCCAUCUACUUGGGCAUUAAGGGUGAAUUUUAUACAUAUAAAAAAUAAUUGAAUUAUCAUAUUUGCACAAUUUCACAUUUAUAAUAUAUAUUCAUAAUAUAUAUUCCACUUCAAUUCAACCAAUAUAAUUUCAUCACAUAUCAAUACAAUCCACUUCAAUUGUAAAAAAAAAAAACAAUAAUUCUCACCUCAAUCACUUACCAUAACAUUUAAUUAAAAAUAUAACAAUUAAUAAUUAGAUUCGGAUUAUAGAAAUACAAACCAGGAAUUCCGAGCUAUUCCUCGUCGACUAUAUUUUUUUCCCUUUUUAGUCGAGAAUUCCGGUACAACGCUAGCUACGGAAUUAAAACAAUUAAAAAUCAUCAAUACAAUUCAAUUCAAUCUCAUAUUAAAUAUUUCAAUUUUUACUCAAUAUUUGCCUAAAUUUCAAUUUAGUCUCUAAACCGAGACUAACUUUUAUUCUCAAAACUAAUUUCAUAUUUUCAUUCCAUUCCCACUUUAAACUAAUUUAACUCUCUAAUUUCACCAUAAAUCCCUAGUUUUGAAAUUCUCUCAAUUUAGUCCCUAUUAAUUCAAAACUUAUGUUUUAUUUUACAAAUCAACCAUUUACUAACUUCUAACUUGAAAUUCAAUCAAUUUAACCCUUAUUUCAUCAAUUAAUUCAACAUAACUCAUGUCUAAAAAUCAACUAUCUUUCAAAUUUUCAACAUAUAUCAUGACAUAUUUUGUUCUAGAACUCCAAAAACUCAAAAAUUAUAAGAAAAUGGAUUAAAUUAACUUACCAAUUGAGCUUGGAACUUCAAAACCCAAAAUUCCCUUUUCUUUCUUUCCUUUCUCCUUCUCUGUUGCGUUUUUCAAUUCUGUUUCUUUCCUUCUUUUCUAUUUGUUUUUUUUAUAUAUAUAAUAAUAUAAUAUUAUAACAAUAUAAUUAAUAUAAUAAUUAUUUAUUAAGUAAAUAAAUAUAAUAUAUAUUAACUAAAAUAUCUCAGAUAUUUCUUUAGGUAUGCCGGUUCAACUUUAUAAAAAGGCAUAAUUACCUAUUUGGUCCUUUUAACUUUUCUUUAAUUUUUAAUUAAAAUUUUAUCUCUAUUGCAAUUUAAUCCUUUUUCAUAAUUAACCUCAAUUUAGACAAAUUCACCUAAUUAAAACUUAAUUAAUUAUACAACUAACUUCGUAAAUAUUUAUCACCCAAACGACGUCGUUUUCUUACCUUUCGUGGCUUUAGCGGCGUUUUUGAAGAAGCGCCGCUAAUGCUAGGGCUUUAGCGGCGUUUUUGGAAAAGCGCCGCUAAAAACAUUUUAUCUUAAUUGGUUUAUUUAUAUUAAGUAAAUAAAAUUCAAUUUAUUUCUAAUUGAAUAUUCAAAGAAUUAUGAUUGUUUUUUAAUUUAUAUAUUAAAAAAUUUCUUAUAUAAUUGUAAAAGAAAUAGUAUUAAUUUUAAAAUAUUGAAUUAAUUAUCACUAUAGUUUAGGGUUUUUGGUUUAGGGUAUGGUAUAUGAUUUAUUUAAGAUUUAAGGCCAGUUUAGGAGUUACUAUUUUAAGGUUUAGGGAGUAUGGAUUAGGGAUUAUGGUUUAAGGGUUGAGAAUUAAUGUUUAGGGGUUAGAGGUUUAGGGGUUUAGGGGUUAGAUGUUAUGGGUUAAGAGUUAAGAAUUUAGGGUUUAGGGAUUCAGGGGUCGAGUUAGGAUUUUGGGCGUUUAGAUUAAUUUUUUUAAUUUAUGUUUUAAAUAUGUUCUUAUAUAAUUGUAAAAGAGAUAAUAAUAAAUUUGUUUAGGGUUUUUGGUUUAAGGUAUAUGAUUUAUUUAAGAUUUAAGGCCGGUUUAGGAGUUCAUAUUUUAAGGUUUAGGGAGUAUGGAUUUAUGGAUUAUGAAUUAGUGAUUAUGGUUUAAGGGUUGGGAUUUAAGAUUUAGGGAUUAGAGGGUUAUGGGUUUAUGGGUACUUAGACGCGUUAGGGGUUAAAAGUUAGGGAUUCAGGGGUCAGGUUAGGGUUUUGGGUUUAGAUUAAUUAUUUUUUUAAUUUAUAUUUUAAAUAUGUUCUUAUAUAAUUGUAAAAGAGAUAAUAAUAAAUUUGUUUAGGGUUUUUAGUUUAGGGUAUAUUAUUAAUUUAAGAUUUAAGGCCGGUUUAGGUAUUCAUAUUUUAAGGUUUAUGGAGUGUGGAUUUAGGGAUUAUGGUUUAAGGGUUGGGAUUUAAUGUUUAGGGGUUAGAGGUUUCCCCCUUCUCUGCUGCAUAACUCCAGGGAGAAAUUAAUAAUGUUUGGUGGACAGGUAUGCUUAAUCAACUUCAUUUUAGUUUAGGGUAUAUUAUUAAUUUGACAGGUAUAAUUUCCCCCCUUCUCUGCUGCAUAACUCCAGGGAGAAAUUAAUAAUGUUUGGUGGACAGGUAUGCUUAAUCAACUUCAUUUUAACUGUAAGCUUUUCAUGUAGCCAUUAUGUCUCAUCCUUCUUGUUGAGUCAUCAUGUCAUGUGGGGGAUCAAGUAUUUAAAUGUUUCACUGGAUAUAUGUGCAUUUAAGCAUGUUGUGCACAUCAUUUUUCACCUCAGGUUCUGUUAGGUCAUAUCCUUUAGAUGUUUAUGCUAAAGAACUGUGACCUUUUUUAUCAAUUAUUUUGUGCUGGAAUUAGUGGUGCACCUCAAGAUAACAACAUUAUGCUUUGGAAUGCGGUUAUAUUUGGGUAUAUUAUGAAAUAAGACUAGAGAAUCUUUAUGUACUUGCUUUUUAGAUUAAAGUUCUAUUAAAUGUUUUAUAUUUAAAUUGUUCCUAUUUAAAUUGUUUUAUAUAUCCAUUUGUGGAGUUGCCUGAGAAAGUAUGGAUUGUCUCAUUUUUUAUUUUUAAAGAAUUUUAAAAUCAGAAGUACAUAUUCUUCAUCUUGGACAGUAACCUAGCUUGGUUAUCCAAUACGAAUACUGUAGGUAAGGUUGGCAGUUGAUGCUAUUUUAAUGGGAUUAAUGGGAGAUAUCCUGAUAGGUACUAUAUGCUUUCAACCCUUGAUAUGGUAUAUCAAGUCCUAAAUCAAAUAAACAUUUAGAUUUGUCUACCCCUAGAAGUAAUGUAUACUUCCAGCCCUUGCGUGAUAUUGUACCUAACACUCACAUUUGGAAAUGUUAAACAUACUUGUGUCAGAGGCAUACUUGUACCUAACACUCACAUUUGAGUCUGACUAAGUAGCUAAAAGUAUUUUGCACUGGUCCAGUGUUCACUAUUUUAUCCUAGGUUUUGAAAUUCAUGGGUUAUUACUGGUACCAUGUACUUCACUCACUGAAUCUUUUGGCUGAAAUUCAUGCCUCUUAACUGUCCCUUGUUUCUUAUUGAUCUACUUUUACCCUUUUUUUUUCUAAGAUACGCUGAUUUUGCAUUGUUUUCACGUGCUUAUUUCUGCUCUUGUUCUCAGUGAUGUAAGAUUGAAUUAGUUUAAAAGUGUUUUCUGCUAAUGGGUAUUGUUUAGCACUCUUCAGUCUAAACUAUUGUAAUUUAUAUUUAUUGUGGAUAUAUUGCCAUGUCUAUGUUUUUGAAUUUGAUGAAUUACUGAUAUGCACGACGUGUUUGCUUUACUAGACUUUAAAUGGUGGAAUUUCUUUGUUUUUGGAUACACAGUUUUGAGAUUUCUUUUGAAUUCAAAAUUGCCCAAGCUGCAUUUAAGUGAUUGCAUAUGUGAAAGUGUGCGUUUUUCUUGUCCAUAUGUCACAUGUCAGGCUUUAAGUUUAUGAAACCUGAGGAUUAGUAUAUAAUAGAUAUAUCAUUAUUUUUUGUUUAGAUAAUUAAGCACCAGCUAUGUUUAGCAAUUAACUUCUGUCAGGCUAGUUAAAUUUUUAAUAAUCAACUUUCAAUCCCAGCUGAGAACUUCGUUUUUAAUAACCAUGUUUUUGUUACCUAAGUUUUUCACCAUUCAUCCCUCUUUAUCAUAUAUUCAUGCUAGGUUGGAAACUAAAGGAGGUUAACCUUUUAUUUCUUUGUAGAAGGAUAAUACUUGCUAUAUAAUGGUUAAGACUGAAAGUAAUAUCAUUCCUAUGUUUUUAGAAAAUAUUUUAAUUUUUUAUGAAAGUAAGAUAUUAAAAGUAUGCCCACGAUGGAAUUAGCUCUUAUAAAUCACUUCUAGACUGUUGUGUGAUCACAUGUCUUGAUGAUUGAUGUUAAUAUAUAUAUAUGGUUUUGCUCUAUGAAAAUCCUUUUGUUUUCACAUAUUGCCAUGCUAAACUAGCAGCACUCUUAUCUUUUUUGCAGUCACUACUCAGAGGUAGGUUCUUGCUUGAAAGACCUGUUGAAGAGGAGAGACCAUCUUCAGUGGCAGUGAGUGAAUUAAAUUAAUUAAGUCACUACUCAGAAGUAAAAUAUCAAUUAGCCUGUUACUUUAUCAGAUUGUGUUAUAUUUCCUCAACAAUGUCUAAUUUGAGUUUAUAGAAGCAAUAAGCCCAUGUAGUAAACAGUGGAUGUAGUAAACCUAUUUUAGUCUAAUUUCAAAGGGUUUUUAGUUUAUAAAUUUUCAAGUUUAUAACUGUACAUAUUGAACUUGUGCAUUUUUUUUUUGCAAUCAAUUAUUUGCACUAUUUGAACUUGUAAUUUUGCUAUUUAAAUAUUAACAUGAUUUUUCAAUAUUUUGACUAAAAAAUAUUAAUUUAUUAUAUGAUUAAAUAAUAUCUUUUUGACUAAAAGUAUAUAUUUAAUACUAAUUAAUUUUUUAUAUUAAUAAUGUUUAAUUUUAAUAUUUAAUUUUUUUAAAUGUUUUUAAAAGUUAGUGGCGAUUUUAUGUAAAAUGCCGCUAAAGAACGGUACUUUUAGCGGCGUUUGUGAUAAAAAGCGUCACUAAAGGUCAUGUUCUUUAGCGGCAAUUGUUAGAAAACCGUCGCUAAAGGCUAUGUUCUUUAGCGGCAUUUAUUAAAAAAGCGCCGCUAAAGAACAUGGUCUUUAGCGGCAUUUAUUUCUAAAAGCGCCGCAAGUAUUAACGGCGUGGUCAAUAGCGGCAUUUUUUGUGGCGCUUGUUGAAGCGCCGCAAAUACUUACAACUGCGCUAAAAGGCGCCGCUGAAGGCCUAAA
rnacentral:lncRNA from 1 species